rnacentral:rRNA from 1 species
GUGGCGAACGGGUGAGUAACACGUGGGCAAUCUGCCCUGCACUCUGGGACAAGCCCUGGAAACGGGGUAUAAUACCGGAUACUGACCCGCUUGGGCAUCCAAGCGGUUCGAAAGCUCCGGCGGUGCAGGAUGAGCCCGCGGCCUAUCAGCUUGUUGGUGAGGUAAUGGCUCACCAAGGCGACGACGGGUAGCCGGCCUGAGAGGGCGACCGGCCACACUGGGACUGAGACACGGCCCAGACUCCUACGGGAGGCAGCAGUGGGGAAUAUUGCACAAUGGGCGAAAGCCUGAUGCAGCGACGCCGCGUGAGGGAUGACGGCCUUCGGGUUGUAAACCUCUUUCAGCAGGGAAGAAGCGAAAGUGACGGUACCUGCAGAAGAAGCGCCGGCUAACUACGUGCCAGCAGCCGCGGUAAUACGUAGGGCGCGAGCGUUGUCCGGAAUUAUUGGGCGUAAAGAGCUCGUAGGCGGCUUGUCACGUCGGUUGUGAAAGCCCGGGGCUUAACCCCGGGUCUGCAGUCGAUACGGGCAGGCUAGAGUUCGGUAGGGGAGAUCGGAAUUCCUGGUGUAGCGGUGAAAUGCGCAGAUAUCAGGAGGAACACCGGUGGCGAAGGCGGAUCUCUGGGCCGAUACUGACGCUGAGGAGCGAAAGCGUGGGGAGCGAACAGGAUUAGAUACCCU